AUACUUAGACAAAUGAUAGUGAGCAC
rnacentral:piRNA from 1 species